rnacentral:rRNA from 1 species
AUACGGGGGGUGCAAGCGUUGUUCGGAAUCAUUGGGCGUAAAGAGCGUGUAGGCGGCUUGACAAGUCAGAUGUGAAAUCCCUGGGCUUAACCCAGGAAGUGCAUUUGAAACUGUUUGGCUGGAGUAAGGGAGAGGAAAGUGGAAUUCCUGGUGUAGAGGUGAAAUUCGUAGAUAUCAGGAGGAACACCGGUGGCGAAGGCGACUUUCUGGCCCUAUACUGACGCUGAGACGCGAAAGCGUGGGUAGC